CGCGUAGGCGGAUUGGAAAGUUGGGGGUGAAAUCCCAGGGCUCAACCCUGGAACUGCCUCCAAAACUAUCAGUCUAGAGUUCGAGAGAGGUGAGUGGAAUUCCGAGUGUAGAGGUGAAAUUCGUAGAUAUUCGGAGGAACACCAGUGGCGAAGGCGGCUCACUGGCUCGAUACUGACGCUGAGGUGCGAAAGUGUGGGGAGCAAACA
rnacentral:rRNA from 1 species